GAAAAAUGUUGGAGAGUGAGAGAACAAAAGGAACGACUUGUCGUGUCAAGUGUGAGUGAGAAAUGUUCUAGUUAUUGGCUUUUACUUGAUCUCGGGCAGUGAAUCUGUAUGGGGCUUUCAUUCUUCUUUUUCUUGGGUUCGUCGAUUCCGGUUUGCCUCUCGGGGGAGUGUCAGUUCUUGUUUUGGUUGUGGUGAUGUUUCACUGCUUGUUUCCGGCUUCAUCCAAGUUUGAUUUUGCUGCUCUUUGAUGUUGAUUAAGGUUCUCGUGUCGUGUCUGCCUCCUCGUAUGGUCUGCUAGGCCUGCGAAGCAGUGGAUUCUAUUUUCAGGUCUUCUCUUUGCGACGAGGUUGUCAAUAUUGGAUCACUGAUAAAAUUGGAUAUAUCCAUUUCGUCUGGCCAUGUCAUUGACGUGGUCAUUACUGUCAGGGCCGUCGUCUUUCUCCAUCCUAAACUGAUUUGCAAGGUAUUAUGGUCUUCUUUGCUAACAUAUUUUUUUAUCAGAAUAUUUUUUUCACAAAUUUUGUUUUUAAAUAAAACCUUUCAAAAAUUUUAGGUGGAAAAUUCUAUUUUACUUUACUGAUAAUGAAACAUUAAUGUAUAGCUAGACUCUGAAAGGACGGGUAUAUAUAUAUAUAUAUUUUUUAAGAAAUUUAAUUUUUAUAUUUGUGUUAUUUUUUAUAAUCAAAUUUUUAUUUAAUUUAAAAUAAAUUUUAGUAACUAUAUUAAAUAUGUCAAGUUGCAUAACUAUACACUUGUGUCAUAUGCAUGUCAUAAAUUAUUUUUAAACUUUAUUUCUAAAGUUUGCAACAUAUUAAAUUUUCUUAAUAAUUACCUAACAUAAUUAGUCAAGAAUAUUCGUACCAUAAAAUCUGACUUGAAAUCGACCCCAAAAUCAAAGUCUCAUAUUCUAUUAGACCUAGCCUAUAUAUUCGAACGGUUCUUAAAGUAUUAUAUCUGAAAACUACAAAUCUAACCUACACCGAAAACGAACAAAUUUUUUGAAAAAUAUUUGGAAAAAAUAUUUUUUAGUAUAUUCUGUUAAAUAUAUAUAUAUAUGUAAAUGGGUUAAUAUGGUAUUCAUUAAGUUUAAGUAAAAUCAUAUUUAAUAAAUAUUUUUUAAUCAAAUAAUCUAUUUAAAACCCGUUAAACUAAAACCCGUAAAAUAUAUUUUUAUAAAUAAUACUACCAUAAGAAUACAUAUUGUCAUUAACACAUGACUAUAUCAGAAACCACCCACAUUCCUGAAAAUUAUGUAUAAAACGCAAAUCUAUGAAUCAAACUUUGAAAGAAGAAAAAUAACUAUUCAGUAAAAAAAAAAACUUAAUUUAUGCUUUAAAAAAAAUGUAAAUGUUUUUUGUGGAAACUAAUAGAACUUGGUUAAUAAGGAUUAUUUUGUUUCAAUAAUAUUAAUAAUUGGACGUGUUCCUUUUUUUUUUUUUUUUUGAUAAACUCUAUCGGCUGAUCCGGUCGGCCCCGGGAGGAACGCACUUAGUGAUACAGAGUGGACUAGCCCGAAAGCGUACCACACUGUCUGACCCGAGUUUGGAAUAUCUUCCGACUAAUACCAGGGGGUGGACCAAUCAUCUGUUAUGGCCCACCAUGUAAACCACUUGGGCUUUGGCCCAAGCCCAAACUGGCCAAGCAUUGUUAAUUUAGUUCCCAGUGGGAAUCGAACCCAGAACUGAUGUGGGUACACACCAAGCCCCAAGAGAUUGCCACUAGGCUACCACCACUGGGUUAAACUGUAUAGGUUGAACUUUUUAUAUCAACUGUGCUCAACCCGAAAGACCACCUCGCCAGAAAUUCUCGUAGGGAUUUUUUAGCUAAUCUAGUACCGCUCAGCUGUCCCUGAGUAUCGAACUGGCGACUUCGGAUAGUCGUGUGUGAAAAACAUUCAGUACUGCCGUUAGGCCACCUGACGUUCUCAAUCGGACAUGUUCCUAAUUUAACAUUAUUGAUUUUUGAAAAACAAAUUAAGCGUUACAUCCGGUCAUUCCGUCUCGUUUGUGAAAACAAACUAAACGAAUGAUGGUUAGCGGUUGUAUAUGUUUUUUUGGUUGACACUUGUGAAUUAUGAUCAUUGAGUUUUUCAUUAUCAAUCUCGUAAUAAAACGUUUUCCCUCUCGUGUUUUCCUAAAAAUCAAUGUUUUUUUUUGCUUUCAUGUUUUCUGCCUAAAUUCUUUUGUACCUUGCCUCUUAAAAAAAUUGUUUCCUUUGCUGAUUUGCUUGUUUUUAACUUUCUUCUUGUGUUCGUUUGCUUUUGAUAUUGGUGGGAGGGGACUACGAGAAGUCUUGGUUACUCAAAGAAGCUUUUAUUGGAUCUGCUAGUGGGAAAGAUGCAACAGAGAUACAGCAACCAUCUUCCACGGACGUCUUUAACCAUAAUAGUUUGGAGUUCUAACAUUCUUUUUUUUUUUUAAUAGUUAGUGUUAAACACGAACUCUGCUAAAUGCUAAUAAAUUCAACCUUGUUAAUUUAUAGAAAUCAUAAUUGGUUUGCCUUUUCUCCGACGUUAUUAUUUCAGCCUUAUUUAUCUUUAGAAAGAGAGAAAAAAAAACAUUUAUUACAGGAAAUGAAUUAGAAAAAUGCCUCAUUAUUUUUCAGAAGCAUGCAACUUUUUUUUUUGGUAAAAUAGAAGCAUGCAACUUCAGAAUACAUUUUAAUUAUGAUUAUUUGGAAUGGAUAAUUCCGUAAAAUUUCAUAAUAUAUUCACCAGUUAUAACGAACUUUAAAAAUAUAUUUUCAAAGAUACAGUAAAAUAAACCGAGAACUGGAUUGAAAGACACCCCAUGGUUGCAAACAUUAGCAUCAACUUGUAUUGCUAACUAAUUGCCAAAGAACCAAAGCCCUCGAAAACAUGAGAUUACAUCUUUCGCAUUUGAAACCAAACCAAAAAUUAGUCUUGAUCAUGUUUUAGACGUUAUUAUUAAUAGUGUAAUAUUGCUCCAUCAUCUAAGAACUCAAGAGAGUAGUCAAA